CAGCCGCCGCGGUAAUACGAAGGGUGCAAGCGUUAAUCGGAAUUACUGGGCGUAAAGCGUGCGUAGGCGGUUUGUUAAGUCUGUUGUGAAAUCCCCGGGCUCAACCUGGGAAUGGCAAUGGAUACUGGCAAGCUAGAGUGUGUCAGAGGAUGGUGGAAUUCCCGGUGUAGCGGUGAAAUGCGUAGAGAUCGGGAGGAACAUCAGUGGCGAAGGCGGCCAUCCGGGACAACACUGACGCUGAGGCACGAAAGCGUGGGGAGCAAACAGGAUUAGAUACCCCGGUAGUCCCUGUCUCUUAUAC
rnacentral:rRNA from 1 species